GAUUAGCUAGUUGGUGAGGUAAAGGCUCACCAAGGCUUCGAUCAGUAGCUGGUCUGAGAGGACGACCAGCCACACUGGGACUGAGACACGGCCCAGACUCCUACGGGAGGCAGCAGUGGGGAAUAUUGGACAAUGGGCGAAAGCCUGAUCCAGCAAUGCCGCGUGAGUGAUGAAGGCCCUAGGGUUGUAAAGCUCUUUUACCCGGGAAGAUAAUGACUGUACCGGGAGAAUAAGCCCCGGCUAACUCCGUGCCAGCAGCCGCGGUAAUACGGAGGGGGCUAGCGUUGCUCGGAAUUACUGGGCGUAAAGCGCACGUAGGCGGCUUUGUAAGUUAGAGGUGAAAGCCCGGGGCUCAACCCCGGAAUUGCCUUUAAGACUGCAUCGCUUGAACGUCGGAAGAGGUGAGUGGAAUUCCCGAGUGUAGAGGUGAAAUUCGUAGAUAUUCCUAAGAACGCCAAUGGCGAAAGCUGCUCACUAGACGACUGUUGACGCUGAUUGCGAAACCUUGCGCAGCAACACGAUAAAUACCCUGGUAGUCCACGCCGUAACGAUGAUAAUAGCUGGCUGGGCUCUUGGACCUUAGUGGCGCAGCUACGCAUUACGUUAUCAGCCGGAGAGAACUGUCAAAUCUAA
rnacentral:rRNA from 1 species